rnacentral:rRNA from 1 species
GAUGAACGCUGGCGGCGUGCCUAAUACAUGCAAGUCGAGCGAACGGACGAGAAGCUUGCUUCUCUGAUGUUAGCGGCGGACGGGUGAGUAACACGUGGAUAACCUACCUAUAAGACUGGGAUAACUUCGGGAAACCGGAGCUAAUACCGGAUAAUAUUUUGAACCGCAUGGUUCAAAAGUGAAAGACGGUCUUGCUGUCACUUAUAGCUGGAUCCGCGCUGCAUUAGCUAGUUGGUAAGGUAACGGCUUACCAAGGCAACGAUGCAUAGCCGACCUGAGAGGGUGAACGGCCACACUGGAACUGAGACACGGUCCAGACUCCUACGGGAGGCAGCAGUAGGGAAUCUUCCGCAAUGGGCGAAAGCCUGACGGAGCAACGCCGCGUGAGUGAUGAAGGUCUUCGGAUCGUAAAACUCUGUUAUUAGGGAAGAACAUAUGUGUAAGUAACUGUGCACAUCUUGACGGUACCUAAUCAGAAAGCCACGGCUAACUACGUG